UCCCUCAUUCGCUCAGUAGUCAGUGUAGAUCCUGUCCCUUUCAAUCAGCAGCUACAUCUGGCUACUGGGUCUCUGAUGGCAUCU
rfam:Sarcophilus harrisii ctg7180001714923, whole genome shotgun sequence.